AUUGAACGCUGGCGGCAGGCCUAACACAUGCAAGUCGAACGAGUGGCGGACGGGUGAGUAGUGUCUGGGAACCUGCCCGCUGGAGGGGGAUAACUACUGGAAACGGUAGCUAAUACCGCAUACCAUCGGAUGUGCCCAGAGGGGAUUAGCUUGUAGGUGAGGUAACGGCUCACCUAGGAGACGAUCCCUAGCUGGUCUGAGAGGAUGACCAGCCACACUUGACCUGAGACACAGUCCAUACUCCUACGGGAGGCAGCAUUGGGGAAUAUUGCACAAUGGGCGCAAGCCUGAUGCAGCCAUGCCGCGUGUAUUAAUAAGGCCUUCGGGUUGUAAAGUACUUUCAGCGGGGAUGCGUUACCCGCAGAAGAAGCACCGGCUAACUCCGUGCCAGCCGCCGCGGUAAUUC
rnacentral:rRNA from 1 species